AUCCCGCUGAAGAGUCCUAAAUAGGACGAAACGUGCAUCGUGGAU
rfam:Schistosoma curassoni strain Dakar, Senegal genome assembly, scaffold: SCTD_contig0008424